AAUGUCUUGAUGGAGUUCGAUGAUGAACAUAUUCUGCUUACUGUAAGCAGAGAUAAGCAAUCAGUGGCCGGUUGUUCAACUUUUAGUUAAAUUUAACCAUGUGGUUUCGUUUAACCAUGGGUUAUAUAUUUAACUAAUCGUUACAUAACCCGUGGUUAAAUUUGUGUUGUUCAACUACAUUUAACGACGUUGUUAUGUAACCAUAUGGUUAAAAUUUAACCAUUCAAUAACCGUAUGGUUAAAAUUUAACUAUUCAACAAGUAUCCCAUAAUUCUCCUUACUAGCAACCAAUUCAAGAUGGAUGACACUGCAGGGGGAGUGGGCAAAAGAAAAACCAAUUGAUAUCCGCAAACAAAUUUUUCUAAUGUUUAAAGAUGUUUAGCUGAAUGGGAAAUUAGUCUUCAUGUGGUGUUUUUAGGGAGCACUGUCAAUCUUUAAUGACAUGGUUGUGGCCUGCUAAUCGAGACUGGAGAAGGGUAACUCUUGACAACAAAAAUUGUUGCGCUUGUAAAGUUCCUCUCUUGUAAAAUGUGGGAUGUGUUUUCAUAUAAGGUGAAAUUUGAAAAUAGUGUGAUGGACAUUUGCAGAAUUUCUUGAAGAUUUUUGUCACCCUAGCCUACUUUUGAGGUGGCGAAGAUCCCUGACCAUGACCAUGAAAAUCUGUAUGCCUAGACACCAAUAUUUAUAGGCGGUUAUUUGCCUUGUUGAAACAGUUGUUUUUAUCCAGUCGACCAUACUUUUCUUUCAAUGAGAACUGAGGAAAUUUCAAAUUUGUGCUACGAUACCUGGAGUUAUAUAUUUAAAGGACAUAGACGUAUCAUGACAUCUAGGCCUAUUUUCAAGUGAACCAAGAUCUACUUCCAACUUUACACACAGACUGCAUACCGUUAUAGCCCACAUAAAGAAGUUACAUGAUUCUAACAUAGAAUUACAGAAGGCAGAGGUUAUAUUAUACAAGAGAUCAAAAAGAUCUCAAUAUUCAUGUACCAAACCAUCAAUAUUGACAAUAAAUCCUAAUGCAUGUAAA